rnacentral:rRNA from 1 species
UACAGAGGUCUCAAGCGUUGUUCGGAUUCAUUGGGCGUAAAGCGUACGCAGGCUGUUCGUUAAGUCGGGUGUGAAAGCCCAGGGCUCAACCCUGGAAUGGCGCCCGAAACUGGCGAGCUUGAGUGCGGGAGAGGGAAGCGGAAUUCCUGGUGUAGAGGUGAAAUUCGUAGAUAUCAGGAGGAACACCGGUGGCGAAAGCGGCUUCCUGGCCCGACACUGACGCUCAUGUACGAAAGCGUGGGGAGCAAACAGG